GACGGAGGAUGCAAGCGUUAUCCGGAAUUAUUGGGCGUAAAGCGUCCACAGGUGGCUGUUCAAGUCUGCUGUCAAAGCGCAGAGCUUAACUCUGUACAGGCGGUGGAAACUGAAGAGCUAGAGUAUGGUAGGGGUAGAGGGAAUUCCCGGUGUAGCGGUGAAAUGCGUAGAUAUCGGGAAGAACACCAGUGGCGAAAGCGCUCUACUGGGCCAUAACUGACACUGAGGGACGAAAGCUAGGGGAGCGAAAGGG
rnacentral:rRNA from 1 species